rnacentral:lncRNA from 1 species
UAAGAGUAUAACAAAAUGACAAAGAAAACAAAUGUUGUGCUGAAAAGGAAACCAAGUGAUGUUUGGGUGAAUCAGUAUAAUAAAGAUCUUUUGCGAUGCUGGAAUGCAAACAUGGACAUACAGUUUGUUGUUGAUGCUUACUCUUGCAUAGUGUAUAUCAUUUCCUACAUUUCAAAAGCAGAGAGAGAAAUGGGAUUGCUGCUGGCAAAUGCACAGAAAGAAGCACACAAGGAUGGCAAUAUGGAUGCAAAACAAGCUUUAAGAAAACUUGGAAGUGUUUUUCUUCACAAUAGAGAGGUGUCUGCCCAAGAGAGUGUUUAUCGUUUGACUAAUAUGAGAUUAAAAGAAGGAUCAAGGAAAGUGGUUUUUAUUCCAACUGGUAUAAAUACAGUAAAAAUGAGUUUACCUUUAAAUAUCAUAAAUAAAAAGGCUGAAAAGGAAGAAACGUACAAUGACGAAAUAUGGAUGAAAAGCAUCACAGACAGAUACAGAGCUCGUCCAAAAACUCAAGAAUUUACAGGAAUGUGUUUAGCGUCCUUUGCAUCAGAAUACAGAGUUCUGUCCAAAUCUGAAAAGUCAUGCACAGACCGAGUAAAACUGGAAAAUGACAUGGGGUUUGUGAGAAAAAGAACUCGUACAGAUUUUGCAGUUGUACGAUAUGCUCGUUUUUCACCGACUAAAAAUCCUGAAAAUUAUUAUCAAAGUAUUUUGGAAUUAUUCUUGCCUCAUUUUUUGCAAAGUCAACUGAAACCACCAAAUUUCACUUCAUAUCAGGAGUUUUAUGAGACUGGAUUUGUAACAUUGUAUAAUGAUGAACUUGAGUCAGUGAAAAUCAUAGUGGACACAAACAGGUCAAAAUUUGAAAAAGAGCAGACAGUAUACAAAAGCUACAAGAUGACUUAGACAAUUUAUGAGACUGGAUUUGUAACAUUGUAUAAUGAUGAACUUGAGUCAGUGAAAAUCAUAGUGGACACAAAACAGGUCAAAAUUUGAAAAAGAAGCAGACAGUAUACAAAAAGCUCAAGAUGACUUAGAAC